ACUCCUACGGGAGGCAGCAGUGGGGAAUAUUGCACAAUGGGCGCAAGCCUGAUGCAGCAACGCCGCGUGAGGGACGACGGCCUUCGGGUUGUAAACCUCUUUUAGUAGGGAAGAAGCGAAAGUGACGGUACCUGCAGAAAAAGCACCGGCUAACUACGUGCCAGCAGCCGCGGUAAUACGUAGGGUGCAAGCGUUAUCCGGAAUUAUUGGGCGUAAAGAGCUCGUAGGCGGUUUGUCGCGUCUGCUGUGAAAUCUGGGGGCUCAACCCCCAGCCUGCAGUGGGUACGGGCAGACUAGAGUGCGGUAGGGGAGAUUGGAAUUCCUGGUGUAGCGGUGGAAUGCGCAGAUAUCAGGAGGAACACCGAUGGCGAAGGCAGAUCUCUGGGCCGUAACUGACGCUGAGGAGCGAAAGCAUGGGGAGCGAACAGGAUUAGAUACCCUGGUAGUCCAUGCCGUAAACGUUGGGAACUAGAUGUAGGGACCAUUCCACGGUUUCUGUGUCGCAGCUAACGCAUUAAGUUCCCCGCCUGGGGAGUACGGCCGCAAGGCUAAAACUCAAAGGAAUUGACGGGGGCCCGCACAAGCGGCGGAGCAUGCGGAUUAAUUCGAUGCAACGCGAAGAACCUUACCAAGGCUUGACAUAUACCGGAAAAGGCUGGAAACAGUCUCCCCGCAAGGUCGGUAUACAGGUGGUGCAUGGUUGUCGUCAGCUCGUGUCGUGAGAUGUUGGGUUAAGUCCCGCAACGAGCGCAACCCUCGUUCUAUGUUGCCAGCACGUCAUGGUGGGAACUCAUAGGAGACUGCCGGGGUCAACUCGGA
rnacentral:rRNA from 1 species